UGCUGGGUUAUUUCAUCUACCCAACCGCUGGGUUAUGAAAUGUUUUACCCAUUAUGGGUUAUUUAUAUGGAAGUUGGGUUAUUUUGUGCAACUCAUGCGUUGAGUCAAAAUCCAUCAACCCAACAUACAUCGGUUGACCCAGCACUUGGGUUGUUUGUGCUUCGAACGUCAUCAGAUCAUCACCAGAGUCCACACACCGAGCGCUUGUCACAGCAGAGAACCAGUCUGGUCAUCCAACGAGGCAAAUAAAUAAUAAAAGAUCAAUGGAUAGCUUUGUCAUUAACACUUUGACAGAGUGCCAGACCUUGUCGAAAGAUUUAAAAGCUUCCAUGUAAUAUGUCAAAGUGACUCCAAUAGAUGAAUAGAG